CCUACGGGUGGCAGCAGUCGAGAAUCAUUCACAAUGGGGGAAACCCUGAUGGUGCGACGCCGCGUGGGGGAAUGAAGGUCUUCGGAUUGUAAACCCCUGUCAUGUGGGAGCAAAUUAAGAAGAUAGUACCACAAGAGGAAGAGACGGCUAACUCUGUGCCAGUAGCCGCGUGAAUACAGCGGUCUCAAGCGUUGUUCGGAAUCACUGGGCGUAAGGCGUGCGUAGGCUGUUUCUUAAGUCGUGUGUGAAAGGCGCGGGCUCAACCCGCGGACUGCACAUGAUACUGAGAGACUAGAGUAAUGGAGGGGGAACCGGAAUUCUCGGUGUAGCAGUGAAAUGCGUAGAUAUCGAGAGGAACACUCGUGGCGAAGGCGGGUUCCUGGACAUUAACUGACGCUGAGGCACGAAGGCGAGGGGAGCGAAAGGGAUUAGAUACCCGAGUAGUC
rnacentral:rRNA from 1 species